rnacentral:tRNA from 1 species
AGACACCUAUUCUAAUGAAAGAUUGCUGAUUUCGGCUUAGCAGAACGCAGUUCAACCCUGCGGUUGUCUU